rnacentral:rRNA from 1 species
AUGCCUUCCCCGCCCUCGUCCGCCGUCAUCAUCCUCAGCGACAGCGACGACGACGACGACGCGGCCGCCCUCUUGCUGAUCGCUGCGGAGCGCUUCACCUCGUCCCUGACCACCCAGGCCGAACUCAAGGCCCUCUGCGAGAAGCACGGCGUCCCGGGGAAGCUCGCCGCGAGCCCCGCCGGCGACCUGCGCGCGUGCUCGCCGCCUCCGCCGAAGGCCGUCUGCGUGUACGCGCACGCGCUGGAGGCCGGGGUGCGCUUCCCGCUCCACGGCUUCUUCUGCAAGACGCUCUCCCACUUCGACCUCGCGCCCGGCCAGCUCACGCCCGACGGGUGGCGCGUCCUGGUCGGCUUUCUCGCCCUCUGCCACGACGCCUCCGUGCCGCCGUCGGUCGCCGUGUUCCGUCAUUUCUUCUCGCUCCGAAGCAGGAAGGGCUGGUACUGCUUCCGGUGCAAGGAAGGUGCCGGCGCGCUGGUUACUGGCCUGGGCAGUUCCGAAUCCGACGGCGAGUGGAAAAGGGGGUUUUUCUUCCUGACGGCGCCGGAGGAAUGGCCGUGCCCCGUUCGCUGGGGCGCGCCGACCGCUAAGAUCUCCGCCGCAGGCCCGGAGCUAUCGAGCCAGGAUAAGAAAUCGGUGGCGGAUUUGGUGUACAAACACGGCGCGGCAGUUGAUCUCCGGACUUACCUCCGCGAGGCCGAUCUUGCGGCGGCCUUCUCCUCCAACCUCGCCGGCGCAUCACCUCCGCCUUCUCCUCAUGCUACUGAUGCCAAAGGCAUUGAUCCGUCGGAAGAGAGUGCGGCAGAAACCGCGAAGGUGAACACCGAGCCGGACGGCGACACGCUGCCGUUGUCCGGAAAGAAGAGGAAACGGGGGGAGACCGCUAAUGUAGAAGACGAAGUUUGCCGUUCUCCGCUGACCACGCCGCCGCCUGCUUCCCCACCGGGAUUGCCUGCACGGCCGUUGUCCGGCGGCUCGGCCGCGGUGUCCGACCCGUGUGCCCGGCGGGGCUUUUUCGACCCGAAGCCACAGCACUCGCCCGUGCCAGACGCACACGACGGCGACAGCGCCGACUGGAAGGUCUCGCAGAAGGUGCUAGAGUGCAUCGUCACGCCGUCGCGGGACGACAAGUUCGCGGCGUCGAAACCCACCGACGUCGUCGCGUCGACCUACGUAGCAAUGCUCCAGGCCGCGAACUACGUGUCCUUCUCCUCGGGCUACGCGCUGGACCUGGACGAGAAGCUGGUGGCGCGGGAGCGCGACAAGGUGGCGCUGUUGGAGCAGCUGGACAAGGAGAAGGCGGCGAGGCAGGCCGCCGAGGCGGAGCUGGAGAAGGCGAAGGCCGAGCUCGCGGCGGUGAAGCGCGCAACUAUGGAGAGCGCCACGGCGACGGCGGUGCAGCAGUUCCUGGGGUCCGAGGAGUACAAGCGGCGGCUCGACGAGCACGCCGCGGCAGGGUACGAGAGCGGCGCGGAGGAGAUGAAGGGCGUCGUGCUCCGGCAUUACCCGCGCCUCGACGCCGCCAAGCUGGUCCUGCCGCUUGAUUAG